GCCAGCCUGGUAGAACAAGUAAAAAGAGUAAAGGAGAUUGAAGCAAUUGAAAGUGAUUCUUUUGUUCAGCAGACAUUCAGAUCCAGUAAAGACAUCAAAAAGGCAGUAGAACCAAGUGAAGUGAAGCAUGUGACUGCAGCAAUAGGACCAGCAUCAGUAGCUGCUGACCCACCUAGCACUGGAAAGGAAAUCGACCCUGACAGCAUCCCAACGGCUAUCAAGUACCAAGAUGACAAUUCUCUAGCGCAUCCAGAUUUAUUUAUUGAAAAGGCUGAGGCUGAAGAAAAGUGGUUCAAGAGAUUAAUCGCUCUCCGACAAGAAAGACUGAUGGGCAGUCCCGUGGCCUAAGCACAGACUUACCGUUGGAUUGACAGUAACCUCGAAAACUUAGGUCUUAAAUGACCAAUAUUAACUUUCACUCUUAAAAAUAAUUUAGCCAAGUACAUAAAAAAGAAAUCUCAUUUCUUCUCUCAUGUUCAACUAAAUAUGUGGUAAUUUGAAUCUAACAUUGUGAACAGUGAAUCUGUUAUAAAAGCUCUGAGUGCAUGAAAACAUAUUUUACUGUUAGUAAAGCAGAUAAUAAAAAAUAUUAGUGUUGAAAUAAAUGAACACUCAGUAGUGUUUCUCAUUACAAUUCUUACAAAGUCAUAUUUUUGACCAACUAUUAGAUAAUUUUAUAUACGAGGGCUAUAUUACUUAGUAUGAGUAUGAGAUUUCAUCUCCUGUAUUAUGAAACCCUUCUUGAAACCCUUCGCUCACCUUUCUUAAGGUUUUUAGGUAUCAUAAAAGGUCCCCUAAGAAGUCUAAGCAAUGCCCAUGUUAGAUUUGAGGGCAGCGUGUUUUGUGUCAAGUGUGGACCGAGUCCUCUAACCCUGGGCCUUUGGAGGCUUAGGAGGUAGGAUCCCAAUCCCAGUCUACACCACACAGCAAGUCCUGGGAUAUCUCGGAGUAAAUGCUAACUAAAUAAAGGAAUAGUUUUUGCUUAGAGAUCAAUUUGUAUUCCGUGUUCUUUUGAAACCUGUAACUAGACUUCAGUCUUUACCUGUGGAAAUCACAUGCCCAAUAUUUUAGUCAUCACUGUGCAGUGCUGUGACAGAAGACCUGGCCUAACUUCAGGGGCAAGGCUUAUUUUAUUUCGUUUUAUGCUUUGAGCAAUCUCAGGCCAUGGUCAGCUGGCUCCACUGCAUGUGGCCUGUAGCAGGCAGAAACACUGCAAGAGGCCAUAUCCCAGGAAAGCCACUCACUAAUGCCUAUCGGGAAGCAAAGAGACAGGCAAGGGCUAAGGCCAUGGUGUACCCUUCAGGGACAUACUCCAGCCAUCUGCUUCUAGUCUGUCCCCUACCUCCUGGUGGCUCAUUCAGCUCUAAGUGCACAAUUUAGUCCCUUCAUGAAGUAACAGUCCUCGUACUCCAGUAACCCUCUCUGUAACACCACCAGCACACGGCCAGGCUUUAACGGUUGAGGCUUUUGGGAGACACUUCAUAUUCAAACCUUAAUGACCAUGCUAGACUAUGGGACUGACCUCAUGAUGGAAAAAGAAUUUCUGAGAAGUAAGAGCUCUUGCAGCACUCCUGCUAGGCAGCAUCUGCCCCCUCCUGAGGAAGCCACCAUGCCAUGUGUAGAAUGUCAUGUGUAGAAUGUUGUGUGUAGAAUGGCGUUCUCUAGUAGACAAGCGUGGACAUCUCUGCAGUCCAUACCUAACAUGCCAGAGAGAAGAGCUGUGGGCCUUGCUGUACAAAAUGGGAUUUCAACCCCUGGCACAAACACUUUUUUUCCCAUUUCUCUCUGCUUGCUUUUACACAGACUCUCUGAAGACUGGAGCUGAGGGCACAGCCAUGGGAAGGCCCUGGGAUGUGAGGUCAUUUUGAUUCUAUCUUUUUUACACUUUAGAGCUACUGAAGUUCUCUUCUCUGUUAAGGAUGGAAAGCAGGCAGGACCUUACACUCAGUUGCAAGUGCUGCUAUAAAGAACGUUUCUGUUAAAAUGGGUGUUCUCAUGGAGACGUUUUCUUGAUCUAGGCAAAGGCUAUUUUCCUUGGCUGUACAAAUAAACAUGACCAGGAUGAAGGAGGCCCAUGUGGUUAUUAAUGUAAACACAGCUACACAGUAGGGAUUUUGGGAGGGAUUAAUCUCAAAUAUUUUGCUUUUUAAUUCUUUAUAUAAUUUGUAAACUGUGGGUUCUCAUGCUACAGGAAGUGUAUAUCUAGGAAUGAAUAUACGCUAUCAAUGGGCCAUAGGGAGUCUUCCACACUUCCAUCUAUACUGCAGUGAAAAUACUGUAAUCUGCUUUCUAGUGUACCUUCUCCCUAGGUGUCUCAAUGACAGGUACACCAAAUACAGACACUUGAAUUGUAACGAAUUUGCAUCUUGAAGAUAAAUCUUUUGUGGAAAAUAAAAAGGCAAGCUUUGUUUUGUUUUCAUUUAUUUUAAGUAAGCAAAUAAACUUGGUCCUAAAGAA